rnacentral:rRNA from 1 species
UUAAAUUGAAGAGUUUGAUCAUGGCUCAGAUUGAACGUUGGCGGCAGGCCUCAUACAUGCAAGUCGAACGGUAACAGCGGAGCUUGCUCCGGCUGACGAGUGGCGGACGGGUGAGUAACGCGUAGGAAUCUGCCCAGUAGUGGGGGACAGCCCGAGGAAACUCGGAUUAAUACCGCAUACGCCCUACGGGGGAAAGGGGGCCUUUGGCUCUCGCUAUUGGAGGAGCCUGCGUUGGAUUAGCUAGUUGGUGGGGUAACGGCCUACCAAGGCGACGAUCCAUAGCUGGUCUGAGAGGACGAUCAGCCACACUGGGACUGAGACACGGCCCAGACUCCUACGGGGGGCAGCAGUAAGGAAUCUUGUGCAAUGGGGGAAACCCUGACACAGCCAUGCCGCGUGUGUGAAGAAGGCC